rnacentral:lncRNA from 1 species
AACAGAGAGAAUCAACAUUAAGCCCCAUUGGACUGGAUUCUGAAGAUGCUUGAGGACUUCCUGCCUUAGUCAGAUUUGGUUUGGAACUGGGGCAGGGCCAGGCCUGCAGGUGGAAGCAACAUCAGCCCCAGCUGUGGGUCCUUCUGACCUCUUUUUCUCUCUACCAGAGAACUGGCUAUUUUUACCUGUCAACUGAGAAGGAUGGAUAGAGAAAAGCAUCAUUACAAAAGUGAAAUGUGUGAAUUUUAUUCUGGCUUUGAACAUUGAGUAGACGAAGAAGACAAUUCCAGACGGAGGAAACUCCACAAGAAAUAUCAUGGAAAUUUGAAAGAACACAGUGGGCUUGGGAAGAGAGAUCUCAGUGGUGGAAGCACCAUCAUCCCAAGGAGACUUAGGACAUUAUUUGAAGAGAGUUUUCCCCUGAGGAAAGUGCUUCAGAGGAGAAAAUACACCAGAAAAAGACAAGGCCCUGCUCUGAGGAGUGAAGACACAAUCCAGCAGGCAGGAGGGAUGGCUAAGUUCAAAGUCUUGAGAAGUGCCCCUCAUGGACACCCCAGGGUGCCCAUCUCCAGGUUACCACCAGGUGCUUCCAAGACCAAGAUAACCAGGCAAUCAUAGUAGAUGCAUCAAUGCACCCUUGCCCAAGGGCCUAGACAAGAGGUAUUGUUUAGCUUCGCAUGAAUUUUAUCACCUUGCCUAGAACCAGCCACCAUCUGCCAGGGCUCCUGACUUUUUCUGAAAUGAAUAGACACUAAAGCCUGCUGGGGAAUUUCAUGGAAAUCAAGAUGACUCAACCCAGAGUCCAUUUCAAGGCUAGGAUGCUAGAGGACGCCAACAAAGGAGUAGGGAAGUGAAACGGAUCAGCUCACAUCCAAGCCCUUGCAUGAUCAAUCCUGCAGUAGGAGUGCUGCUCAGUUGGGACUCAUGAGAGCCCGGAAGAGGAAAAAGCAGCUCUAAGCAUAGCAAAGAAGCUGUUAUGGAAAAGACCCAAAUGUUAAAAUGGUGGACAUAGUAAAGUGAUUGGUUCUGCUUAGGGGAAUCUAGAUCCCCACAUUUUGACCUCCACUGGAGUCUCAGAAGAACAAGUGCCAGGGGGGCUUGCCACAGAGGCCAAGGCAGUGAAUGUCAGGCACAUCACAGUCCCCAAGAUGGGGAGAAGACUGAGAUGCAGGGUAACAACUGCAAUCCAUUCAUGGGAGCCAUGUUUAUCUUAAAUCAUUGACAGUGAGAUAAGGAUCAUGUCAGCCUUCAUACCUUUGAUGAUGAUCCCAGGCUGCAACAGUGACACAUAGAACUGGAUUCAGUAACUAACUACAGAUUCCAUCAACCAGGACUAGUAAAGUGAAAGGCAGAAAUUGGGAGGAGGGGUUUCUUUCUUGCUUAUAAAACUUUAUUUGGUUGUGUUGAGUAUGUGCAUGUAUGUAUGAAAUCCCAUAAAGCAGUCUUCUUAGGAACAAGCCAACAUGCCACAAUGUAGGAGAUCUUUGGAGCACUGGCCUAAAUGGCAGAGAGCUCAAGGGACUCUGCUUUGUACAAGGCAUGAUUUGUACCACCACCACUAUCCCUGUUUCAGAGCACUGUUGAAUUGUUCCAAACCUGGAUUUCUAUGUCAGCUCCCUGUCUAUAGUACUUGACUGAUAAAUGCUAGUUUCUGAAAUCUGCUUUGGUUCUAUAAUUUAUUAGACAGCUUUUUCUUCCCAUUUUAUUACUUGUUUUUACUGUCAUUGGUAUAUUAUCUCUUACAGUGAAAACAUUCAUAGGCUGAUUGAAGAGAAGAUCUGAAAUUAUUAGGCAGCAAGCAUACAAAACCCUUGCUUUAUAAAGAUAAUAUCUUAAAGGCCUAAUGUCUAUGGUUCAAAGCAGCCUGGAGAUGUUGGCUAAAUCUUCCAUCAUAGAGUCCUCAUGGGAUCUGGAAGCUCUGAUUUAUCUUCCUUCAGGCCCUAUAAGUUAGCUUUCCACAUCUGUAGGUUCCACAAUCAACCUUGGAUCAAAAACAUUUGAAA